AAGCGCUUGCAAUCAGACUUGCAUGCAGCUGAUCAUCCGAUGUUCUCACCGGUGCACUCAGUUGCAUACAGGCCAGCAUCAGUUUUGGUGGUUGGAUAAAGGCCUAAGGAAUGUAGCUUCUCUCGGGGAGUGUUAUAGCCUGUGGUGUAAUACCCCCGCCGGGACCGAGGACCGCGCAUUGCAAGGAUGCUGGCGUAAUGGU
rnacentral:rRNA from 1 species